rnacentral:lncRNA from 1 species
AAUUAUUAAAAAUAAUUAAUUAUUUUUAAUAAUAAUUAAUUGACUGUCUACUAUGUACCUAGAUCCUGCUGAUGGAACAGUGAACAAGACACAAGACCUGGCCUUGAAUUCACAUUUCAUUGACAUAAUAGGUGCUCAGCAAACAGGAAGUUCACUGCAUCUCAGUCCUACUGGGGUUUAA